rnacentral:rRNA from 1 species
UAUAUCCUACGGGACGCAGCAGUGGGGAAUAUUGGGCAAUGGGCGCAAGCCUGACCCAGCAACGCCGCGUGAAGGAAGAAGGCUUUCGGGUUGUAAACUUCUUUUGUCAGGGACGAAGCAAGUGACGGUACCUGACGAAUAAGCCACGGCUAACUACGUGCCAGCAGCCGCGGUAAUACGUAGGUGGCAAGCGUUAUCCGGAUUUAUUGGGUGUAAAGGGCGUGUAGGCGGGAAUGCAAGUCAGAUGUGACAACUAUGGGCUCAACCCGUAGACUGCAUUUGAAACUGUAUUUCUUGAGUGCUGG